rfam:Carnobacterium inhibens subsp. gilichinskyi strain WN1359, complete genome.
GGUACCUUUAAACCAGUCCAGAGAGACUGACAAGGAAGCGGAUGAAAAUCUAAAAGAAAUGUGUGCAAGUGUGGAUAUAUACACUUUUCUCUUAGAUUAAAGAAAGAGGCUGAAUGUCAGGAAAUCUGAUAUUCAGUCUCUUUUUUUU